CAAAAACCAAUUUAUAUUUUUUUAGAAGUUAAGUUAAUAUUUAGAAUUUACAUUGUUGUUCAUUUUAGACACAAGAUCAUGUCUGCAACAGCCACCUUGAAGCUUCCUGUGGAUGCCUCCAUAUCUAUUUGUAUUUACUAUUGAUUUGCCUUCAACUAUUGCCAUUUCCUCCAUUCAAGAGCUUCCUUCUACGCUAAUGUAUCUAAUAGAUACGCCCUGCAAUUCCCACAAUGCAAGGAAUCUGACAGCGAGGAGCAGAAAUGGAAACCAGUUGAAUGAGUGCGUGAUUCUAUCUUAUUCUGUUGCUUCCCAUUUCCCACUGAACGUCAAAGAUGAGUGGGUGGGAGGAUAGGUAGUGGGUGGCCAUGUAGGGGAACCGCAAGGUGACAGGGCGUUGGUGUCCUUGCCGCUUUUCCGGCAGACGGAUGAUAUAUCACAGACAUAGCCGAGCGGCAGGUCGGCAGACUUCACGCUCAUCAUCGCCUUUCUCAUUAAGAGCAGGUACUUCUUAAAAACGAUUUAAAACUCGAGAAUAUAAGAAGCAUUAAAUAAGUCGAAGUGCUACGAAGCUGUAUCAUACCAGCAACAUUUUAAGCACUUAUUUUGUGGUAUUCAAAAAAAUUUUCUGAGUGCACUUGGUGGCCAUCCUCAAAGAUGAAACAUAAACGGACAAAUGGCUAGGUAGAGGGGAUUAUUAAGCCUUUAGCCACGUGUCUUCUUCAGAACUCAUUCAACAUCACCUGGCGACAUAUAAAUGUGCGAUGAGCGCCUUUUAAGAGCUUUCAUAAAACUUGUCAAGUACCUGAAUGUAAAACUUUCCACACAUUAGCUAUAUUCUCUAGGACGAAGGGUAAAACGUUUGUCAAGGGAAAAAUAAUGAUUUUACAAUUUUUUACCAGUAGUUCCUCUCAAAUUUAAGUGCAGUAAAGCAACUACCAGGUACUCGCAUUAAUUAUGUUAAUUGAACUGUGGCAUUGUACCGGAAAAGGCCAGAGGGCCUGUGUCCUCGGAAGGCGGAAUCAUAUUGAGACGUCCCCGCAGAACCACAGACACAUAACUCAUAAUGACAUGAGAGUCUGUUGAGGCAAAGCCAAGUAUACCACCACAAUACCCCCCGUAGACAUGUAGGCGAGUCAUCAUUAAAACUUGUGGCAGGUUGCUGCGUGCAACGCGGCCCGAUUCCACCAAACUGGUCAAAUUCGAGCCAGUGAGAGAAAAAUGACAUAUACUUAUUAUAAUUCUUUACAAUAAACCAAUUUUAAGAAUUUUGAAUCAAGUAACCUUUUCUAAAUAACAUGUCUUUCUUGAGGGCUUGUUGAAAGCGAAACUAGAAUGCGUCUAAAUAUAAAAGCAACAUCUCAAAAUCUGAAAGGAUUGGUCUAUCUAUAAAUAGAACAAGGCCAACUCAUGGCCAAGGCCAAAAGCAAUCAGCGAAAUCAAUCAACGCAAAAAGCACAACAAUAAAAAAUGAAAAGCAAAAAAUUAUAAAAAAUGAGCAGCAAAAAUCUGUCUGAAAGGAUACCCACACCUUAUUCAUUCUCUUGCAUUGUGAGGCAAACAAUGCAUAAUUACUUAUAAUGAUUUUUUUUUUCUGUUGUGGACCUGAAGGGACUAUUCCAGAUUUCUUUUCUAGGCAAGUUAAUUCAAAGAUUUAUUCAAGGGAUUCCAAUUUGUCUGGAAUCAGCUUAUUCUGCUUUCAAUGAUUAUAAAAUAAUACAAAUUGAUUCGCCCAUCAUGCUUCGUUUAUUAAAUUUUACAACGUGGCACUCAAGAUAAGCUGAACAUAAUCCUUGAGCGCAUAAGUGGCACGUAGCAGGGAUUUAUCCCUGGCACGAGCUGUAAAUAAUAGCUCAUACUAUGAUGCACCUCCAAUGAGGUUAAUUUUCACACCUUUGUAAAUGGCUUAAUGCUAAUGAUUCGUAAUUAGUCACUGGUGUUUGCACAUCAAUUUUAAUCUUUUUAUGUCCAAAAUGUAUAUAUUUUCGCGCAUUUUCUGCAAUAUUUUGAUUAUUUUUUUUAAAGAAAUUUUGUGUAAAGACGAAAGGUGGGCAGGGAGAGUUUCCUUUCUUUACUUUGACUGGCUCUCACUUUCUCCGUCUACGUUUAUAGACAAAACGUGAGAGUCUACUAAGCCAUUUCACACGCAAAUUGUCCCCUUCUGUCCGGUGUUCAAUGUCCCCAAAGUGCAAAGUUCGGGUAAAAUGCGAAAAUGCAUUAAAUAUUUACCAA